GGAUGUGAGGGCGAUCUGGCCGCGACAUCUGUCACCCCAUUGAUCACAAGGGUUGAUUCGGCUGAUCUGGCUGACUAGGCAGGGGUCCCCUUCCUCCCUCACCGCUCCACGUGUGUCCCUCCGGAAGCGCGCUCGGUCGAAGAGGACGACCUUCCCCAAUAGAGGAGGACUGUCCUUCAGUCAAGGGCAUACGAGUAGCUGCGCUCCCCUGCUAGAACCUCCAAACAAGCUCUCAAGAAUGCACACAAAGGUCUUAGCGCAGUAAGCACAUAGUUCACACUGACUACACGUUAGCUGUUAAUGUAU
rnacentral:snRNA from 1 species